rnacentral:tRNA from 3 species
GGGGAUAUGGCGAAAUCGG